AAGGAUCAUUAUCAAAAAAUUCCUUAUUUUUUGAAAUAUUUUUUUCCAAUUUCCUCUGUGUACCUAUUCCAUGUUGCUUCCACUAGACCGGUAUCCAUUAGUAUUCUACUAACGUUUACCCUUCCUCCAUCUUAUAAUAAGUGGUUGAUGUAGUGUCGGUGGGUAGCCUUUAGUUAUAAAAAACUUGGGUUUAAAAUCUAGUCUGAUAUAUAAAGAUAAAAAUAAAUAAAUAAAAACUUUCAACAACGGAUCUCUAGGCUCUUGCAUCGAUGAAGAACGCAGUGAAAUGUGAUAAGUAAUGUGAAUUGCAGAAUUUCGUGAAUCAUCGAAUCUUUGAACGCACAUUGCGCCCUAUGGUAAUCCAUUGGGCAUACCUGUUUGAGUGUCAGAAUCCUAUGACUGAUCAAGCUUUUAUAUAUAUUAUUUUAUAUAUGAAGAUGUUUGGACAAAACGUUUGAGAAAAGUAGUAUAAUAAGGCUACUUUCUUAAAAAUGAGAUUUAUAUUUAUUUGGUUUUUUCUUCAAAACUCAUUUUGUAUGAAAUAUAGCAAAUGGGUGAGGACAGAAAUCAAUACUUUUUGGAUGACCUCAAAUCAGGUAGGA
rnacentral:rRNA from 1 species